ensembl:ncRNA lncRNA:CR44709 long non-coding RNA:CR44709
AUGCCGAUGGCAUUAAAUCCCGUCAGCGAGACGGCUUAAAGGUGUCGCAAUCUGGCUUCAGCAGCAGUCGCUUUGAGAAGUUCCUGCUGCGACAGGUCGAACAACAAUUCCCAUCCGCAAUGUUGUGGCAGUCCCGGGCCAGCAUUCGAUUCUUCCUUGCCACCAAGGACGCUGCGGCUUAAACGCACUUGAACCCUUGUAAAAUUAUACACUGGAAAAUAUUAGUUUUAUUUAAAAGAAAAUGUAUUGAAUUAUAUAUUUUUUUUUUUUGAGUAAAAUCGGAGUAUUCCACAACAGUCCAAAAAUAAAAUUUAAUACAGUGCUCUUUUCCUAAAAACAGUUUUGAAAUUUUUCCAGCACUGGCAUCCUGGAUUUGUCCCUCAAAGUUGGCCAUUGAACUUGCGGCAAAACUUGUUUUCCCCUCGUUUUCUUAUCGUUUCUGCGGCAGCUGCUGGCGUGGCUUUUGUGGUUAAGAGUCGAGGCGAGUUGGCCGGAUUGUAAUGGUGAAUAGAGCACAGCAGGGUGUACCUUAAUGUGUGUGGCAUGCUCGACUUGGCAAGAGGCAAGGGCGAUCAGUUGUGGCAGAGCAACCCACCGAGAAGUCCGCUCCAAAUGCAACAGACCAGAAACCCGACCGAAUAAAGAGAACUUCUAGGCUUUUGGAGACUGCUCGUUAUUUAAUUUCCAGUCAAUCUCUUUAAUUAGCUGUUAACUUCCGCAACAUUUGCGCCAAAGAACGCUUGUCUUGUCUUGCCAAAAAAAAAUAAAACACAAAAUUCCAAGAUACAAGCAACCUCCCAACCAAGUAUUUAUUCGUUGUGGGUGCGUUCAAUGGCUGAAAGUGAUUUAUGAACGCCUGCUGUGCCAUAGAUAUUUAUGGCAAUUGUUUCGCUUUGAUUUGCGAAGCCAUUUAAGGCUUUAAUUAAAGUGCUUAGUACUGGGAACUAGUCUACUAGACUCCGCGACGGAAACGACGCUCUGCCCAAAAACUAAGUCAAAAGCUUCCAUUAGCCAAGUUAGCAGACAAGUGCUGACAGGAAGUUCUCAUCUCUCGGUUCUAGCCAUGAAUUAUGACCAAUUUUGACCAAGAAGCGACCAAGCGUUUUAGAAAGGCAAAAUCCUGUGCCACUAAGGUCACAUUCUGGUCCGUUCGAACGCACCAGAACCCGUUCUCCAGUCACUUCCUCCAUUGUAACAGGAUCAGCUUGGGAUUCCGCUUCAUGUGCUGGCCAUUAAGCGGGUAUUCUGAUUCUCAGACGUCGGAUGCCGCGGCGACCUUGAGACGAGAGUGCAAAAAAUGUGUUCAGAUGUUCGCUGCUGCCCCGAUCUCUCGGUGUGUAGGUUGCAAUU